rnacentral:rRNA from 1 species
CCUACGGGAGGCAGCAGUGGGGAAUUUUGGACAAUGGGCGAAAGCCUGAUCCAGCAAUGCCGCGUGCAGGAUGAAGGCCUUCGGGUUGUAAACUGCUUUUGUACGGAACGAAAAAGUCUCCUCUAAUACAGGAGGCCCAUGACGGUACCGUAAGAAUAAGCACCGGCUAACUACGUGCCAGCAGCCGCGGUAAUACGUAGGGUGCGAGCGUUAAUCGGAAUUACUGGGCGUAAAGCGUGCGCAGGCGGUUUUGUAAGACAGAGGUGAAAUCCCCGGGCUCAACCUGGGAACUGCCUUUGUGACUGCAAGGCUAGAGUACGGCAGAGGGGGAUGGAAUUCCGCGUGUAGCAGUGAAAUGCGUAGAUAUGCGGAGGAACACCGAUGGCGAAGGCAAUCCCCUGGGCCUGUACUGACGCUCAUGCACGAAAGCGUGGGGAGCAAACAGGAUUAGAUACCCCAGUAGUC